GUUAAGCGACUAAGCGUACACGGUGGAUGCCCUGGCAGUCAGAGGCGAUGAAGGGCGUGCUAAUCUGCGAUAAGCGCCGGUAAGGUGAUAUGAACCGUUAUAACCGGCGAUACCCGAAUGGGGAAACCCAGUGUGACUCGUCACACUAUCAUUAACUGAAUCCAUAGGUUAAUGAGGCGAACCGGGGGAACUGAAACAUCUAAGUACCCCGAGGAAAAGAAAUCAACCGAGAUUCCCCCAGUAGCGGCGAGCGAACGGGGAGGAGCCCAGAGCCUGAAUCAGCAUGUGUGUUAGUGGAAGCGUCUGGAAAGGCGCGCGAUACAGGGUGACAGCCCCGUACACAAAAGCGCAUGUGCUGUGAGCUCGAUGAGUAGGGCGGGACACGUGGUAUCCUGUCUGAAUAUGGGGGGACCAUCCUCCAAGGCUAAAUACUCCUGACUGACCGAUAGUGAACCAGUACCGUGAGGGAAAGGCGAAAAGAACCCCGGCGAGGGGAGUGAAAAAGAACCUGAAACCGUGUACGUACAAGCAGUGGGAGCACAGGUUUACCUGUGUGACUGCGUACCUUUUGUAUAAUGGGUCAGCGACUUAUAUUCUGUAGCAAGGUUAACCGCAUAGGGGAGCCGGAGGGAAACCGAGUCUUAAUUGGGCGUUAAGUUG
rnacentral:rRNA from 1 species